rnacentral:rRNA from 1 species
UGUUCGGGUUAAGUCCCGCAACGAGCGCAACCCUUGCCUUAGUUGCCAGCAGUUCGGCUGGGCACUCUAAAGGGACUGCCGGUGUUAAACCGGAGGGAAGGUGGGGAUGACGUCAAGUCCUCAUGGCCUUUAUGACCAGGGCUACACACGUACUACAAUGGCCGAUACAAAGGGCAGCGACACUGCGAGGUGAAGCCAAUCCCGUAAAAUCGGUCUCAGUCCGGAUUGGAGUCUGCAACUCGACUCCAUGAAGUUGGAAUCGCUAGUAAUCGUGGAUCAGCAUGCCACGGUGAAGUACGUUCCCGGGCCUU